GACGAACGCUGGCGGCGUGCUUAACACAUGCAAGUCGAACGGAAAGGCCUUUUCGGAGGUACUCGAGUGGCGAACGGGUGAGUAACACGUGGGUGAUCUGCCCUGCACUCUGGGAUAAGCCUGGGAAACUGGGUCUAAUACCGGAUAGGACCGCACUUUAGUGUGUGUGGUGGAAAGUUUUUUCGGUGUAGGAUGAGCCCGCGGCCUAUCAGCUUGUUGGUGGGGUAAUGGCCUACCAAGGCGGCGACGGGUAGCCGGACUGAGUGGUUGGUCGGCCACAUUGGGACUGAGAUACGGCCCAGACGCCUACGGGAGGCAGCAGUGGGGAAUAUUGCACAAUGGGCGCAAGCCUGAUGCAGCGACGCCGCGGGGGGGAUGACGGCCUUCGGGUUGUAAACUCCUUUCGCCAGGGACGAAGCGUUUUGUGACGGUACCUGGAGAAGAAGCACCGGCUAACUACGUG
rnacentral:rRNA from 1 species